rnacentral:rRNA from 1 species
GAUGAACGCUAGCGGCAGGCCUAAUACAUGCAAGUCGAACGGUGUCUUCGGACAUAGUGGCGCACGGGUGCGUAACACGUAUGCAACCUACCUUACAUUGGGGGAUAGCCUUUCGAAAGGGAGAUUAAUACCGCAUAAGACAGUAGCUGGGCAUCCAGUAGCUGUUAAAGAUUUAUCGAUGUAAGCUGGGCAUGCGUCCAAUUAGUUAGUUGGUGAGGUAAUGGCUCACCAAGACGAUGAUUGGUAGGGGAACUGAGGGGUCAAUCCCCCACACUGGCACUGAGAUACGGGCCAGACUCCUACGGGAGGCAGCAGUAGGGAAUAUUGGGCAAUGGACGCAAGUCUGACCCAGCCAUGCCGCGUGCAGGAAGGAGGCGUUCUGCGUUGUAAACUGCUUUUAUAUAGGAAGAAACGACCCUUGCGAGGGGCAUUGACGGUAUUAUAUGAAUAAGCACCGGCUAACUCCGUGCCAGCCGCCGCAGUAAGAC